AAUAAGAUUUUUUAUAAUAAUACUGAAAACGGGCCAAGCCCAGAGAAAUUACAAUAAAAGCCCAUAGCGAAACCCAAACUCGAUCCCCAAAUGGGCCCAAAACCCACCGGCCCAACUUGAGUAACCCUAAUUCCAAACCGGCGAGAGAGCAGCCGCCUCAAGUUUCAACUGUUUCGAUGCAAGGACACGUGACGCCAUCCUCGACGACGAGGAGGCACGUGUCGCACGGACGUCUCAUCUCCACCACCUAACAACUUCCCCGGAGAUCCAACCUUCGGAUCUCUCGACCAAACCGGAGCACCGCAGCUCCACCAUACCUCUCCGCAAGCGUCUUUGGGCCUCUAAAACCGGAAGGGAUCGAUCGCCAUGGCGAGAUCACCUCCAC
rnacentral:lncRNA from 1 species